AAUCGGCGAUGAUGAUUUAUGUACAGCUUUAAUGCCAGUUCUGCUUCAGAAAAUUCCUGAUUGAUAGAGCUGAUAUAUGUUUCUGAGCCAUUU